AUGAACGCUAGCGACAGGCCUAACACAUGCAAGUCGAGGGGCAGCGCGGAGCAAGCUUGCUUGUUCUGGCGGCGACCGGCGCACGGGUGCGUAACAGGUGUGCAAUCUGUCCAUAAUCGGGGAAUAGCCCAGCGAAAGUUGGAUUAAUGCUCCAUGUGAGUUUUAGAGGCAUCUCUUUAAUUUGAAACGUAAGGAUUAUGGGUGAGCACGCUUCUGAUUAGGUAGUUGGUGAGGUAACGGCUCACCAAGCCGACGAUCAGUAGGGGUUCUGAGAGGAAGGUCCCCCACAUUGGAACUGAGACACGGUCCAAACUCCUACGGGAGGCAGCAGUGAGGAAUAUUGGUCAAUGGACGAAAGUCUGAACCAGCCAAGUCGCGUGAAGGAUGAAGGUUCUAUGGAUUGUAAACUUCUUUUGUCUGAGGGUAAAAAAGCGGACGUGUCCGUUCUUGCAAGUAUCAGACGAAUAAGCAUCGGCUAACUCCGUG
rnacentral:rRNA from 1 species